AGUAGAUAUCCCGCUGGGUACAGUGCACACACCACAUACCACAAACACAUAUUCACCACACGAAAGUUCCCUCCUCUCUUUCUGAUCAGCUGCGCCCUUUAUAUUGAGUUGUUUGUUGCUCAUUCCCUGUCGGAUCGUUGUUUGCUCACUCUCGUUUUUUUUUCAGUGUUCUCCUGUCUCCAGUUUGCUGCACUCAGCUCCGACCAUUUAGGAAGUUACCCUGUGGAGUUACUGGCAGUCUAUUGUGGAGCCACCUGUUACUGUGAGGAACUCUUACUAUUCUCUGUGGAAUUUGUUGUUCCUUUGCUCACUCUCCGGUUUUUCAGAAGUUCAUCAAACAACUGUGGUAAGAAUCUUUCAUCAAGCACGCCACCAGAUCCAGUCUGUUUCCAAGUCAGAAGGUCACUGCAGUCACCUGGAUCCAGUAUGUAUCCAGCCCAGAUGGUGGAUCAGCACCUAGAAAGAACCUCUACAGCCCUGAAAGACAGCGGAGACCAGGACAACUAGAGCCCCAGAGACAGAUCCCCUAUAAAGACCUUGUCUCAGACAACCACCGGGACAAGACCACAGGAAACAGAUGAUUCUUCUGCACAAUCUGUCUUAGCUGCAGACUGGAAUUGAACUGCUGGUUUCGUCUGGUCAGAGGAGAACUGGCCCCCCGACUGAGCCUGGUUUCUCCCAAGGUUUUUUCUCCAUUCUGUCACCGAUGGAGUUUUGGUUCCUUGCCGCUGUCGCCUCUGGCUUGCUUAGUUGGGGACACUUCAUUUACAGCGAUAUCGUUGACUUGAUUGCAAAUUAUUGCACAGAUACUAUUUAAACUGAACUUAGCUGCAUGAUGACAUCACUGAAUUCAAUGAUUAACUGCCUUUAACUGUCAUUUUGCAUUAUUGACACACUGUUUUCCUAAUUAAUGUUGUUCAGUUGCUUUGACACAAUCUUUUUUGUUUUGCUAUAUAAAUAAAGGUGACUUGACUUGACUUGACUUUGACUGUUGUCCGGGAUCUCAGUCUGCUGCCCAUUGUAGUCCCUGCGCUACUGAGGAAUUAUCUGCACCCACUAUUUUUCUGAUAUCUUUAUGCUGUUCCCUUUUGGUCUUCAGAAAAUAAACCUUUGUACACUUGCAACUGAGUCUAGUCUUUUUCGGAAAUACCCUAACAGUUUGGUUGCCAGCUGAGCAGGUGCACAUGCCAUCUUGAUAGCACAUGGACAGUUUCACACCUUACAUUUCCCUGUUCCAGUUUCAUCCU
ensembl:lncRNA